rnacentral:rRNA from 1 species
GACGAACGCUGGCGGCGUGCUUAACACAUGCAAGUCGAACGGAAAGGCCCCUUUGGGGGUACUCGAGUGGCGAACGGGUGCGUAACACGUGAGUAACCUGCCCUUGACUUCGGGAUAACUUCAGGAAACUGGGGCUAAUACCGGAUAGGAAUCCUUGCUGCAUGGUGGGGGUUGGAAAGCUUCGGCGGUUUUGGAUGGACUCGCGGCUUAUCAGCUUGUUGGUGGGGUAGUGGCUUACCAAGGCUUUGACGGGUAGCCGGCCUGAGAGGGCGACCGGCCACAUUGGGACUGAGAUACGGCCCAGGCUCCUACGGGAGGCAGCAGUGGGGAAUAUUGCACAAUGGGCGGAAGCCUGAUGCAGCAACGCCGCGUGCGGGAUGACGGCCUUCGGGUUGUAAACCGCUUUCAGCAGGGGCGAAGCUUUUGUGACGGUACCUGCAGAAGAAGCACCGGCUAACUACGUG